AGAACGAACGCUGGCGGCAGGCUUAACACAUGCAAGUCGAGCGCCGUAGCAAUACGGAGCGGCAGACGGGUGAGUAACGCGUGGGAACAUACCCUCCGGUUCGGAAUAACUCAGGGAAACUUGAGCUAAUACCGGAUACGGCAUCGGAGAGAGAUCUCGGCGGCGAAAGAUUUAUCGCCGGAGGAUUGGCCCGCGUCCGAUUAGCUAGUUGGUGUGGUAAUGGCGCACCAAGGCGACGAUCGGUAGCUGGUCUGAGAGGAUGAUCAGCCACAUUGGGACUGAGACACGGCCCAAACUCCUACGGGAGGCAGCAGUGGGGAAUAUUGGACAAUGGGCGCAAGCCUGAUCCAGCCAUGCCGCGUGGAUGAUGAAGGCCCUAGGGUUGUAAAGUCCUUUCGACGGGGAAGAUAAUGACGGUACCCGUAGAAGAAGCCCGGCUAACUUCGUGCCAGCAGCCGC
rnacentral:rRNA from 1 species